GAACUGUGCCAGUGCAAAGUGAAGUCAGAGGAAACUCUGGUGGAGUCCUGCAGCGAUAGUGACGUGCAAAUUGUUUGUCUGACUUCGGUUUUGAGGCAAAAGAUUAAUCUA
rnacentral:rRNA from 1 species